ACAGACAUAGGGGAAUGAGACAUGCAGACAUGGACUUUUAACAGAGGAGAGCAUAAGGGCUCUGGCCCCACUCCCCAUUAGGUCUCUAGGAGGAGCCCACAGAAUAGAGUGUUCACACAAAAAUAUGGGUAAGUGGGUGGAAUGGUAUAGACAAGCCUAGACAGGGUUUUGUUUUUCCUCCUGAACCUCCACCAGGUCCUGUGUAAUGUGAAGGCUGAGUUGACAGCCCAGUGUUUGGCCAGCCAAGGAGACUUCACCACAAGUUCAUUAGGUAUAGAUGUCAGCAGUAGACAACAGCAGAAAGCACAAGGAUGGGACUGAGCCAACCAUAGCUCGCUGGAUCCAGCCAGCAUACUAAGAAAACAGCAUAAGAUGAUGGCCAAAGACAUCAGGAGCAAGAAGAAUACGGGUACAGUGCCUGGAUAUCUCCUAGCUACCCUAGUUCCUCAGACACAGAGAGAGACGCAGAGACACAGGCAGAAGGAGAAGCAGACUUCACGCAAGGACCCCGAUGUGGGACUCGAUCCCAGGCCUCUAGGAUCACUCCCUGAGCCGAAGGCAGAAGCUCAACCACUGAGCCCCCCAGGCAACAUAUCUAAGAAAUUUGGGACUACAUCAAAAUAAAAAGCAUUUGCAAAGUGAAAGAAACCACCAACAAAACAAAAAGGCAACCAGUGAAUGGGAGAAAAUUGCAAAUAACAUAUCUGAGAAGGGGUUCAUAUCCAAAAUACAUAAAGAACUUAUGAAACUCAACCCCAAGAAAACAAUCUAAUUUAAAAACAUGUGCAGAGGACCUAAAUGGACAUUUUCCAAAGAAGAUAUACAGAUGGUCAACAGACACAUGAAAAGAUGCUCAAGAUCACUAAUCAUCAGGGAAAUGCAAAUCAAAACCAUGAGAUAUCACCUUACACUGUCAGAAUGGUUAAAAUAAAAAAGACAAAUAAUAAGUGUUGGUGAGGAUAUGGAGAAAAAGGAACCCUUGUGCACCACUGGUGGGAAUGUAAAUUGAUACAACCACUAUGGAAAACGGCAUAAAGAUUCCUCAAAAAAAUAAAAAACAGAAAUACCAUAUGAUCUAAUAAUUCCAGUACUGAAUAUUUACUCAAAGAAAAUAAACACACUAAUUCAAAAAGAUGUAUACACCCUUAUGUUUAUUGUAGCAUUACUUUUAAUAGCCAAGAUAUGGAAGCAACCUAAAAGUCCAUUGAUAGAAGAAUGGAUAAGAAAGAUGUGCUCUGAAUGUGUGUGUGUGUGUAUGUAAUAUUACGCACCCAUAAAAAAAUGAGAUUGUGUCAUUUGUGACAACAUGGAUGGACCUGAAGGGUAUUAUGCUAAGUGAAAUAAGUUUGAGAAAGACAAAUACCAUAUGAUGAUACUCAUAUGUGGAAUCUUAAAAAAAAAACCCAACUCAAAACAAAACAAAUGAAUAAGCAACAAAAAGCAGAAUCAGACCUAUAAAUACAGAGAACAAACAAACUGAUGGUUGCCAGAAGGGAGGGGGGGUGAGGGAAUGGGUACAAUGGGUGAAGGGGAGUUGGAGAUACUUUGAGUUAUGAAAUGUCAUGGGAAUAAAAGGCACAGCAUUGGGAAUAUAGGCAAUGAUACUGUAAUAGUGUUGUAUGGUGGGAGAUGGUAGCUACCCUUGUGGCGAGCACAGCAUAAGGUAUAGAGAAGUUGAAUCACUAUGCUGACCACCUGAAACUAAGGUAACAUUGUGCCAACUAUACUCAGAUUUUAAAAAGAGAGAAAAAGAAACAUUGAUCUGUAAGAUGAGUAAACAUUGCUAUUAAUAGUGACAUUUGAUAAGGACCAAUUAUGAAUUAUAUAUAUAUAUAUAUAUAUUUUUUAAAGAUUUAAUUUAUUCAUGAGAGACACACAGAGAGAGAGGCAGAGACACAGGCAGAGGGAGAAGCAGGCUCCAUACAGGGAGCCAGAUGUGGGACUUGAUGCCGGGUCCCCAGGAUCAGGCCCUGGGCCAAAGGCAGGCGCUAAACCGCUGAGCCACCCGGGAAUCCCCUCUUGUGAAUUAUAAAAAGAGGGAAAAUAUCUGAUAUGUAUUGCAUCCAUAUUAAAAUAUGCUAUAACUAUUCCCUUGAUAAGACUUUUGAGAUUAAGGACUCCAGGUUUAAGCAUAACUCUUUACGUGAUACAAGAAGAGAAAAUAAAACCUGUGGCUAUUUACUGUCCUCAAGCAUCAAGAGUAUUAAGUGCCACAGAGAUAAGCAGGGAGAAGCAAACAGAAUUUAAAAAAAUUUUUUUCAAUAUUAUUGCAACUGUUUCAUUUUCAGUUUUUUAAAUUUAAAUUCAAUUUACCAACAUAUGGUAUAACACCCAGUGCUCAUCUCAUCAUGUGCCUGUCACCCAGUUAUCCUAUAUCCCCACCCACCUCCCCCUCUGCAACCCUUGGUUUGUUUCCCCAGAGUUAGGAGUCUCUCAUGGUUUGUCUUCCUCUCUGAUUUUUCCCCAGUUUCCUUCAUUUCUUAUCGUCCUUUUCCUAUUUCUUAUAUUCCAUAUAUGAGUGAAAUUAUAUGAUAAUUGUCUUUCUCCAAUUGACUUACCAUUAGUAGUAAUGAUUCCUUUGGCCGGAGUCUGUGCAUGUGAUUCUUUAGACUGAAAUAAUGCCUUUGGGAAAAAAGUUAAAUUUUCCUGGCAAAGUUUAUCCAGGAGGGGAUUUGGAGUAUCAAUGAGUGUUAAGUUGCAACUGUUGCUAAUGUGAUUUUUAAAAUACUGAAUGUGAGCAUCAAUAAGCUUCUGGACAAUUUGAAUUCUUUCUAUUCUUAAUGUUAACUGAAUUUUAAAAAACCCAGGCAUUAUCGAGAAUGAUUUAUAACAUCAAUUAGACAUUAUCUGUUUAUAAGAUUUUCUAUUAGAUUUGAAAACCUCAGGUUUUUUAAAUAUGAAUUAAUCUUGAGAAAAUACCAUUUACAUUUGAAAAUUUGCAGUGAAGUUAAUCAAUAAUAAUAAUAACAAUAAUGUCCUAAAAUGUCUAACAGAUAUGAAGGAAUGUAUUUUAAAUUUGCUCUUUAAAAGGGAUAAUGGAGCACUUGGGGAGCUCAGUGGUUGAGUGUCUGCCUUUGGCUCAGGGCGUGAUCCCAGGGUCCUGGAAUGGAGUACCACAUUAGGCUCCCCGCAGGGAGCUCCCUUCUCCCUCUAUGUUUCUGCCUCUCUCUCUCUGUAUCUCUCAUAAAUAAAUAAAUAAAAUCCCUAAAAAUAUAAAUAAAAAAUUAAAAGGAAAAUAUAUUACUGGAUUUAGAAUAACUUCCCAAAGCAGACUCUAGGACCCUGAAAAGCCCUUUAAAGUUCUUUCAGUUUGAUAGUUUGUGUUUAUUAUUUUUAACUAUUAAAAUACUAUAUAAUGAUAUAAAAUUUAAGAGAUUCUGAUAUAUAAUUAAAAAUUAGGAGGGUUACUAUUUUUCCUUAUAAAAUUUGUG